rnacentral:lncRNA from 10 species
GGUUACUGUGGAGCUUCCAGAAAUUUUGCUAGUGCUGAUUUUAGGUGCCAGCUUGCCAUAGCUUCAGGGCACUCUAGAUUUGGAGCAUUGGAGGGAAGAAGAGAAAGGUAUUCAGCAGCAUUACUCAGUCAACAUGUCCUGACGGUGUGUGGAGUGACCUUCUAGAUUUUGUGGGGAGUGAUGAUGGCAAUAUUUCCUGGAGAAGCACGCUCAAUAAAGGAGAAAUGGGAUUAACACAACUGUGACAAAACUGCACUAAGUGAUUGGAAAGUAGGAAGCAUGUGGGCAAAUGAAUAGGCUACUGGCCUGAUUAAACCAGGAAAUCUCAAGCAGCACUGGAGUUCUGAAAGAAUUAAGGGGUGUGGCUGGUGGAAAGCUGACAAAACUCCCUCAGAGGGGGCAAUAGCA